UGCUUACUGAUGAUUGGGAAAGGCUUUGUGAAAUGAAAGUCCAUUAUUUCCAAAAUUUUAAUUGAUAAUGUGUUUGGUAACUCAGAAUUUAUUGUAGGAGAAUUAAGUUACUUUUUACUGGUGAUUGAUUUGAUAACUACAUCAGGGAGGCUUACACAUGGGUUAGGAAUGUUUAUUGUAGAAAAAGGUAAAGGGUAAAUCCUUCUAACACAAACACCAUUACAC
rnacentral:lncRNA from 1 species